rnacentral:tRNA from 1 species
GAGGGUGUAGCUCAAGUGGUGGAGCACAUGCUUAGCAAGCAUGAGGUCCCGGGUUCAAUCCCCAGCGCCUCCU